rnacentral:rRNA from 1 species
GAUGAACGCUGGCGGUAUGCCUAACACAUGCAAGUCGUACGAGAGUUUUUUAACUCUAGUGGCGGACGGGUGAGUAACACGUGAGAAUCUGCCUUUAGGAGGGGGACAACAAUCGGAAACGAAUGCUAAUACCCCAUAUGCUUUCGAGUGAAAUGGAUUUUAUCCGCCUAGAGAGAAGCUCGCGGCUGAUUAGCUUGUUGGUAAGGUAAGAGCUUACCAAGGCGACGAUCAGUAUCUGGUUUGAGAGGACGAUCAGGCACACUGGAACUGAGACACGGUCCAGACUCCUACGGGAGGCAGCAGUGGGGAAUUUUCCGCAAUGGGCGAAAGCCUGACGGAGCAAUACCGCGUGAGGGAAGAAUGCCUAUGGGUUGUAAACCUCUUUUUCAGGGAGGAAUAAAAUGACGUGUACCUGAAGAAUAAGCAUCGGCUAACUCCGUG